rnacentral:rRNA from 1 species
GACGUAGGGGGCAAGCGUUGUCCGGAAUUACUGGGCGUAAAGGGCGUGUAGGCGGUGCGGUACGUAGCGGUUUUAAGCCUCCGGCUCACCCGGAGGAGGGCGGCUAAACGGCAGCACUGGAGGGCAGGAGAGGUGCGCGGAAUUCCUGGUGGAGCGGUGAAAUGCGUAGAGAUCAGGAAGAACACCGGUGGCGAAGGCGGCGCACUGGCCUGGCCCUGACGCUGAGGCGCGACAGCGUGGGGAGCAAACGGGAUUAGAUACCCCGGUAGUCCACGCCGUAAACGAUGGAUACUAGGUGUCGCGGGGGUCCACCUCGCGGUGCCGGAGCUAACGCACUAAGUAUCCCGCCUGGGGAGUACGGCCGCAAGGUUGAAACUCAAAGGAAUUGACGGGGGCCCGCACAAGCAGUGGAGCAUGUGGUUUAAUUCGACGCAACGCGCAGAACCUUACCAGGACUAGACGGGAUCGUGAGCGCCGCGAAAGCGGCGGGCCCUUCGGGGAGCGAUCGUCAGGUGCUGCAUGGUUGUCGUCAGCUCGUGUCGUGAGAUGUUGGGUUAAGUCCCGCAACGAGCGCAACCCUUGUCGUGUGUUGCCAGCGGUUCGGCCGGGCACUCACACGAGACUGCCGGUGACAAACCGGAGGAAGGUGGGGAUGACGUCAAAUCCGCAUGGCCUUGAUGUCCUGGGCUACACACGUGCUACAAUGGUCCCGACAACGGGCCGCGACGGCGCGAGCCUGAGCGAAUCCUUCAAACGGGACCUCAGUUCGGAUUGCAGGCUGCAACCCGCCUGCAUGAAGUCGGAAUUGCUAGUAAUCGCCCAUCAGCAUGGGGCGGUGAAUUCGUUCCCGGGCCU